rnacentral:rRNA from 1 species
CAAUGCCGCGUGAGUGAAGAAGGCCUUCGGGUUGUAAAGCUCUUUUGUCAGGGAAGAAACGGUGAGGGCUAAUAUCCCUUGCUAAUGACGGUACCUGAAGAAUAAGCACCGGCUAACUACGUGCCAGCAGCCGCGGUAAUACGUAGGGUGCAAGCGUUAAUCGGAAUUACUGGGCGUAAAGCGUGCGCAGGCGGUUUUGUAAGUCUGUCGUGAAAUCCCCGGGCUCAACCUGGGAAUUGCGAUGGAGACUGCAAGGCUAGAAUCUGGCAGAGGGGGUAGAAUUCCACGUGUAGCAGUGAAAUGCGUAGAGAUGUGGAGGAACACCGAUGGCGAAGGCAGCCCCCUGGGUCAAGAUUGACGCUCAUGCACGAAAGCGUGGGAGCAAACAGGAUUAGAUACCCUGGUAGUCCACGCCCUAAACGAUGUCUACUAGUUGUCGGGUUUUAAUUAACUUGGUAACGCAGCUAACGCGUGAAGUAGACCGCCGUGGGGAGUACGGUCGCAAGAAUU